GCCCCGCAAGGGGAGUGGCAGACGGGUGAGUAACACGUGGGAACAUACCCUUUGGUUCGGAAUAACUCAGGGAAACUUGAGCUAAUACCGGAUAAGUCCGCGAGGAGAAAGAUUUAUCGCCGAAGGAUUGGCCCGCGUCUGAUUAGCUAGUUGGUGAGGUAACGGCUCACCAAGGCGACGAUCAGUAGCUGGUCUGAGAGGAUGACCAGCCACACUGGGACUGAGACACGGCCCAGACUCCUACGGGAGGCAGCAGUGGGGAAUAUUGGACAAUGGGCGCAAGCCUGAUCCAGCCAUGCCGCGUGAGUGAUGAAGGCCUUAGGGUUGUAAAGCUCUUUUACUCGGGAAGAUAAUGACGGUACCGAGAGAAUAAGCCCCGGCUAACUUCGUGCCAGCAGCCGCGGUAAUACGAAGGGGGCUAGCGUUGUUCGGAUUUACUGGGCGUAAAGCGCACGUAGGCGGAUCUUUAAGUCAGGGGUGAAAUCCCGAGGCUCAACCUCGGAACUGCCUUUGAUACUGGGGAUCUUGAGUCCGGAAGAGGUGAGUGGAACUGCGAGUGUAGAGGUGAAAUUCGUAGAUAUUCGCAAGAACACCAGUGGCGAAGGCGGCUCACUGGUCCGGUACUGACGC
rnacentral:rRNA from 1 species